CUCAGAACGAACGCUGGCGGCGCGUUUAAGCAUGCAAGUCGAAUGGAAGUUAUUCUUCGGGAUAAUGGACAUGGCGGACUGGUGAGUAACACGUAGAUAAUCUACCCUUGAGUUGGGGAUACCCCAUGGAAACAUGGGAUAAUACCGAAUGAAGUCUAACUAUCACAAGAUGGAAUGAUGAAAGAGGCGAUUGCCUCGCUUAAGGAUGAGUCUGCGGCUCAUUAGCUAGUUGGUGGGGUAACGGCCUACCAAGGCGAUGAUGAGUAGCCGGCCUGAGAGGGUGAACGGCCACAUUGGGACUGAGAUACGGCCCAAACUCCUACGGGAGGCAGCAGCUAAGAAUCUUCCGCAAUGGACGAAAGUCUGACGGAGCGACGCCGCGUGCACGAAAAGAAGGCAGAGAUGUUGUAAAGUGCUUUUAUUGGGGAAGAAUAAGGGUAGCAGGAAAUGGCUACCUGAUGACAAUAACCAGUGAAUAAGCCCCGGCUAAUUCCGUGCCAGCCGCCGC
rnacentral:rRNA from 1 species